GAUGAACGCUGGCGGCGUGCCUAAUACAUGCAAGUCGAGCGGUAAGGCUCCUUCGGGAGUACACGAGCGGCGGACGGGGGAGUAAUACGUAGGAACGUACCCCAAAGUGAGGAAUAACCAGCCGAAAGGUUGGCUAAUACCGCAUAUGCUCUACGGAGUAAAGCAGCAAUGCGCUUUGGGAACGGCCUGCGUCCGAUUAGCUAGUUGGUAAGGUAAAGGCUUACCAAGGCGACGAUCGGUAGCUGUUCUGAGAGGAUGAUCAGCCACACGGGAACUGAGACACGGUCCAGACUCCUACGGGAGGCAGCAGUAGGGAAUUUUCCACAAUGGGCGAAAGCCUGAUGGAGCAACGCCGCGUGCAGGAUGAAGGCCUUAGGGUUGUAAACUGCUUUUAUCUGUGACGAUUAUGACAGUAGCAGAUGAAUAAGGAUCGGCUAACUCCGUGCCAGCCGCCGCGGUAA
rnacentral:rRNA from 1 species